GAGGGAAUAGCUCAGUGGUAGAGUGCAUGCUUGGCAUGCAUGACGUCUUGGGUUCAAUCCCCAAUACUUCCU
rnacentral:tRNA from 1 species